AUGUGGAUCGCCUUGUGGAAACUGAAGGUUAUCCCCAGAGUCCGUGUGUUUUGGUGGCGGGUCUUACGUGGAAUUCUGCCGAACUACGCUACCCUUCAGCAUCGUCAUAUUAGGAUGACGGCAGUGUGUGAUCUAUGCAAGGCGGCAGUGGAAGACUUGCGACAUGCACUGAUAAAUUGUUCACAUGCCCGGCUGUUUUGGGCAGCAGCCAGAGACUUCUUGGGUCUCAAAUUACCAAGGCUACACCCUGCCACUUGGGCGAGGGAUGUGCUGAUGGACGACAUCAUCGAAAACCAAGACAGAUGCAAAAUUGUUACUAUUAUGCAUGCAAUAUGGUCCGAUCGAAAUCGAUGGACUCAUGACAAGGUGUCAUAUGAUCCAGUGCAGGCGGUAAAAUUAGUUCGUGAUGAUCUUAUUAUGCUUGACAUUCCGAAGCCUUCACGCGGUGUGUCGGGGGCCCAGUGGCGUCUGCCUGAUGUGGGGUGGAUCAAGAUCAACACGGAUGGUGCUAUCAACAGCGAAGCUCGGUGUGCAGGAGGGGCCGGGAUAGCCCUUUCUCACCUGCCGUUUAUCGGAGCUUGGAGUAAACCUUUCCAAGGGGUGACAGAUCCCCUCAUUGCCGAAGCCUUAGCUCUACGGGAGGGAGUCAUCUUCGCUCAGCUAUGUGGGUUCUCACAUGGGGUGAUGGAAACUGAUUGUUUAGAGGUUGUCAACCUCUGGUCGUCGCACGACAGUUUGAGACCUAUGCGCCAAACAGGCAUGUUCCUUAUUGGUUUCAGAUUGUUGGCUGGAGGGCUGUCCAUCCUUUCUCCUUAG
rnacentral:rRNA from 1 species